rnacentral:tRNA from 7 species
GGGCCGUUAGCUCAGCUGGUUAGAGCAGCGGACUCAUAAUCCGUUGGUCGAUGGUUCAAGCCCAUCACGGCCUACCA